CCUACGUGAGGCAUCAGUGAGGAAUAUUGGACAAUGGCCGAGAGUCUGAUCCAGCCAAGUAGCGUGAAGGAUGCCUGCCCUAUGGGUUGUAAACUUCUUUUAUAUGGGAAUAAAAUGUUCCACGUGUGGGCUUUUGUAUGUACCAUAUGAAUAAGGAUCGACUAACUCCGUGCCAGCAGCCGCGGUAAUACGGAGGAUCCGAGCGUUAUCCGGAUUGAUUGGUUUUAAAGGGCGCGUAGGUGGAUUGUUAAGUAAGUUGUGAAAGUUUGCGGCUCAACCGUAAAAGUGCAGUUGAAACUGGCAGUCUUGAGUACAGUAGAGGGGGGCGGAAUUCGGGGUGUAGCGGUGAAAUGCGUAGAUAUCACGAAGAACUCCGAUUGCGAAGGCAGCUCACUGGACUGCAACUGACACUGAGGCUCGAAAGUGUGGGUAUCAAACAGGAUUAGAUACCCGUGUAGUC
rnacentral:rRNA from 1 species